rnacentral:lncRNA from 1 species
AUGGACUGCAAGAAACCAAAAACUGUUUCAAAACAUAAUCUUCACCGCACAAGAAACAGUAACCAGAGCUAUUCGUGAUGCAAAAGAGUGGGCGGCAGCUCAAUUACCUAUCUCACAAGGCGCAAAGAGAUUUAAUCCCCAAAAGAACAGACCAAGCUCUGAUGUGAUAUGUAAAUCCGAUGCGGCUUGGAAGAAAGAGGUACAAGCAGCGGGGCUUGCUUGGAGCUUGUACAGUAAUCAAUUGGAGCGAAUCAGCUCCCAUAAUCAACCUGUAGCGUUUGUGAUCUCGUCUCUUUUGGCAGAAGGACUAGCAAUACGUUCAGCGAUGAAACACGCCAUCGACCUUCGGAUGAGAUAUAUGGUGUUUGAAACAGACUCUUUGCAAUUGGUGGCGGCGAUUG